rnacentral:rRNA from 1 species
CAAGUCGAGCGAGAGGGGGUAGCAAUACCCUAGUAAAGCGGCGCACGGGUGAGUAACACGUGGAUAACCUGCCUCGAAGUGGGGAAUAACCCCGGGAAACCGGAGCUAAUACCGCAUAUUCUGACGAGGUCUGCGGAUUUUGUCAGGAAAGGAGCAAUUCGCUUUGAGAGGGGUCCGCGGCUGAUUAGCUAGUUGGUGAGGUAAUGGCUCACCAAGGCCACGAUCAGUAGCCGGUCUGAGAGGACGGUCGGCCACACUGGAACUGAGACACGGUCCAGACUCCUACGGGAGGCAGCAGUGGGGAAUUUUUCGCAAUGGGGGUAACCCUGACGAAGCAACGCCGCGUGGGUGAUGAAGUAUUUCGGUACGUAAAACCCUUUCGACGGGGAAGAAACCGCAAGGUUGACGGUACCCGUAGAAGAAGCCCCGGCUAACUCCGUGCCAGCAGCCGCGGUAAUACGGGGGGGGCAAGCGUUGUUCGGAAUUACUGGGCGUAAAGGGCGCGUAGGCGGUUCGCUAAGUUGGAUGUGAAAACUCUGGGCUUAACCCAGAGCCUGCAUCCAAAACUGGCGAACUGGAGUACUGGAGGGGAAAGCGGAAUUCCUGGUGUAGCGGUGAAAUGCGUAGAUAUCAGGAGGAACACCGGUGGCGAAGGCGGCUUUCUGGACAGUAACUGACGCUGAGGCGCGAAAGCUAGGGGAGCAAACAGGAUUAGAUACCCUGGUAGUCCUAGCCCUAAACUAUGGAUACUUGGUGUGAGGGGGAUUGAAUCCCUUCGUGCCGUAGCUAACGCAAUAAGUAUCCCGCCUGGGGAGUACGGUC